GACAGAGGUGCCGAGCGUUAGGCGGAAUCACUGGGCUUUAAAGCGUGUGUAGGCGGGUCGUUUAAGUGUCCGUGUGAAAUCCCACCGCUCAACGGUGGAACUGCCGGGCAUACUGGGCGAUCUUGAGCCACCUAGGGGCGGAGCGGGAACAAGCGGUGGAGCGGUGAAAUGCGUAGAUAUCGCUUUGGAAGCCGACGGUGAAAACAGCUCGCUGGGGGUGUGCUGCGCUGGAGACACG
rnacentral:rRNA from 1 species